rnacentral:rRNA from 1 species
GAUGAACGCUGGCGGCGUGCCUAAUACAUGCAGGUCGAGCGAACGGACGAGAAGCUUGCUUCUCUGAUGUUAGCGGCGGACGGGUGAGUAACACGUGGAUAACCUACCUAUAAGACUGGGAUAACUUCGGGAAACCGGAGCUAAUACCGGAUGAUAUUUUGAACCGCAUGGUUCAAAAGUGAAAGACGGUCUUGCUGUCACUUAUAGAUGGAUCCGCGCUGCAUUAGCUAGUUGGUAAGGUAACGGCUUACCAAGGCAACGAUGCAUAGCCGACCUGAGAGGGUGAUCGGCCACACUGGAACUGAGACACGGUCCAGACUCCUACGAGAGGCAGCAGUAGGGAAUCUUCCGCAAUGGGCGAAAGCCUGACGGAGCAACGCAGCGUGAGUGAUGAAGGUCUUCGGAUCGUAAAACUCUGUUAUUAGGGAAGAACAUAUGUGUAAGUAACUGUGCACAUCUUGACGGUACCUAAUCAGAAAGCCACGGCUAACUACGUG